GCACUGGUAGUUCAAUGAUAAAAUUCUUGCCUUCCAUGCAGGAGACCCAGGUUCAUUUCCGGGCCAAUUGCA
rnacentral:tRNA from 1 species